UACGAAGGGGGCUAGCGUUGUUCGGAAUUACUGGGCGUAAAGCGCACGUAGGCGGAUCUUUAAGUCAGGGGUGAAAUCCCGGGACUCAACCUCGGAACUGCCUUUGAUACAGCAAGUCUUGAGUUCGAGAGAGGUGGGUGGAAUUCCUAGUGUAGAGGUGAAAUUCGUAGAUAUUAGGAAGAACACCGGUGGCGAAGGCGGCCCACUGGCUCGAUACUGACGCUGAGGUGCGAAAGCGUGGGGAGCGAACAGG
rnacentral:rRNA from 1 species